rnacentral:rRNA from 1 species
CAGUCGCCACGGUAAUACGUAGGGUGCAAGCGUUAAUCGGAAUUACUGGGCGUAAAGCGUGCGCAGGCGGUUUUGUAAGACAGAGGUGAAAUCCCCGGGCUCAACCUGGGAACUGCCUUUGUGACUGCAAGGCUAGAGUACGGCAGAGGGGGAUGGAAUUCCGCGUGUAGCAGUGAAAUGCGUAGAUAUGCGGAGGAACACCGAUGGCGAAGGCAAUCCCCUGGGCCUGUACUGACGCUCAUGCACGAAAGCGUGGGGAGCAAACAGGAUUAGAUACCCCGGUAGUCCCUGUCUCUUAUAC